rnacentral:rRNA from 1 species
CCUACGGGAGGCAGCAGUGGGGGAUAUUGCACAAUGGGGGAAACCCUGAUGCAGCGACGCCGCGUGUGGGAAGACGGUCCUCUGGAUUGUAAACCACUGUCCCCAGGGACGAAGAUGACGGUACCUGGGGCGGAAGCUCCGGCUAACUACGUGCCAGCAGCCGCGGGAAUACGUAGGGAGCGAGCGUUGUCCGGAAUUACUGGGUGUAAUGGGAGCGUAGGCGGGGAUUCAAGUUGGGUGUCAAAACUACCGGCUAAACUGGUAGUCGCACUUAAAACUGCAGCUCUUGAGUGAAGUAGAGGCAGGCGGAAUUCCUGGUGUAGCGGUGAAAUGCGUAGAUAUUAGGAGGAACACCAGUGGCGAAGGCGACUAUCUGGCACAUAACUGACGCUGAGGAGCGAAAGCGUGGGUAGCAAACAGGAUUAGAUACCCUUGUAGUC